GCUUGCCCAGCUGAGGCAUUGGAGCAGGGCAUUUUGAUAGUGGCUGGAGGGCAGGCAGCUCAACCUCUAAACCCCCCUGGUCUGGGCACCAAGUCCUGUCCUGGGCACGGGACACAGUCCUCCAGCGAGACCAAACCCAGCUUCUCUACAGCACCAGGAAGAAGGCAAGCUGGGCCACCAGGGCGCGGCCCCAGGAAGGAAAAUCCUCCAUGGUCCUGUUGACAGAUGUGGUAUCAAAUGAAUUGUUCUCUGCUUAGACACGACUUUGAUAUUUAUUGGUUCAAAUUGCUCGGCUGACUCAGUCUUGCGGACUCUGAUUACACUGGACCUAUCCAAGAUCUGAGAUCAUCAACUCAUCUCAAAAUCCUUAAGCUGACCACAGCAGCAUCGUCCCUUUUGCAGUGUAAGGGAGCCCAGCUGGGACAAUGUGUGAAUCAACGCAUGAAGGAGUGAGUGAGCAGCUAACCAAAUGAAAGAAUACUCAGAUAUCUGGGGUACAGUUCCCCUCCAGGUUUGCACAGCAUCUGCUGAAGUCUCCACUAGAAACUCAAUGGAAGGUCC
rnacentral:lncRNA from 10 species